rnacentral:lncRNA from 1 species
CAAGAUCAGAUGAGCCAGUUAAUACAUGUGGGUGGUGCUAGCUGAUCCAUCAAGUGCAGGGUCUGCAAAAUAUCUCAGAAACCCUGUGAGGUAGAUGUUAUUAGAUCCACUGUGUAUAUGAGGAAAUUGAGGUUUGUAAGUCACAUGACAUGUCUCAUCUAAGCAGUGACAAAAGCUGGAAUCCAGGUACAGAGAGUUGUGACCCAAAACCCAUGAACUUUCUAUUGUAUCAUUAGAAACAUAAGGAUCCCAGUAAAUCAGUUUCAAAUUAGAAACACAUUUGAGUGAUGAAGCUAGAGCUAUUUUACAAGGUUGACUGCUAUUAUUGGAUUGAUGAAUUUUAAGAUGUGGACAUAUGUGAGAGGCUCACCCAACAGACUUCACUGGUUUCUAGACGGAGUUUCACUCUUCUUGCCCAGGCUGGAGUACAAUGG